GAGGGGCGCCGGGUGCGGGGUAGCUGAGAGAGCCAGAGAGGAGGAGUGAGGGAGCAGAGGGUUGGGAUUUGAAAAUGGGAGCUGGGGGGCGUCGACGGAGGGGCUCGAGGAGUAGGGGAGGUGAGGGAGCUGCGGCGGAAGAGGGUUGGUAACCGUGGAGGAUCCUCUCUAGGCGCGCCACCCCACCGGCCCCUCACACGCAGCAGGUCUCUCUGUUCCGCCGAGGGUUCGUCUCCCAGGUCGUCGCGACCGAACAGGAGAAGAUGCGGCUGCGACGGGUGGGGAGGAGUAGGGCACGCCCGCGCCUCCACUCUAAGAGGCCGCAGCCGCCACUGGACGUCAGUUUCCCGUUGACGCUGCCGCGAGCAAAGGUAUACGUCUUCUCUCUCUUCUACUCUCCCUCUCUCUUCCUUCCUGUCCUUCCUAUUUCUGUCUCUUUUCUCCUCUCCCUCCACGUCGCCGCCUGUACUCUCCCGGUGGCCUUGCUAGUGGCGGCCGAGCAGUAGUAUGUGUAGCGCGACCUCUUUCUCCUCUCCCUCCACGCCGCCGCCUGCCCUCUCCCAGUGGCGUUCCUCGAGACGUCCGAGCACCAGCAAGUGUGCCGCGACCCCGUCUCUAAGAAGACAUGUUGGGAGUGCGGGCGUCCUACGACUCCUUUAGGAGCUUCCGUAUUUCUAGUGUGCCUGUGAAGGAAAAAUUUCCAAAAAGAAGCGGCGACUACCGUUCGAGGAAAGAACGAUUAACACUAUAGAAAACAUGUACCGGAGAGUCGUCUCAUUCUUUUAUCUGGACGCUACAAAGAAAGACUAAAAGAACGUCAAAAGUCCCCUAUAAAACCCGAAGAUCUAACUAACAAAGUACUUCGUAAUAUCUAGUCUGGUAGUCUAACUACACAUCAAAUAUCAAUUCAUAGUUCACCCACACCCCGUUAGAAUAAAUGGGUUCAUCGGUACAAACUGUUUAGUGGUAGGUCAAACAACAUACCCACUAAGACUACGUGUUCACCUUGUUACUUCUUAUUACUAAGAGGAAUAUAUUAAUGUACUAAUUAAUUUGGAGUCAAGGAGUACAAAUGAAGCGCCCUGACUUUUCUAAACAUGCUUAAAUAGUUAGUACACAGUCGGAAGUAAACGUAGAGUAGGAGUUUCCUUACCCUAUACUAAAUUAAGGUAAUCGUUUAAUAAGACCAAUGUGAAGUUCGAACCCAGUCAUAAAAAAUAACACAUCUAUUGUUGUGCACCUGGAGGAAGUCUCAGUACUCUUCCUUUUGAAACCCAAUUAGUAAAUAAGACCUAAACACUAAAUACUAGAAGUUCAGUUCCUACAGCUCAAGAGGACGAACGAGACCAAACUCGGAAGAUACGAGAUAAACCGGACAUUGAACACAACGGAAUAACCAUUUCUAAAUUUAAUGCGAAGAUAUCUGAUAAAAUAAAAGAACCUCUUCUAAUACAAGUAACAAAAUACCCAACUAGAUAAACAGUAAACAUGGAGCCAACUGCCUUGUAGACUAUAAACUUUGGUACUUAAUCCCUAGUAUCACAAUAAUCUCUUAUACAUUGAGCCCUUGUCGCUGUUCAAUAAAUCAACAACCAGUACUGCUAUGUGACCAACUCUGCUAUUUAGAAAUAAGUGGUUACGGGUGAUAAUAAUCCUAGACGAAACGUUUUUAUUCAAGAGGGUAUUAGAAAAAUGUCUUAGGUAUUCUUUGUUCAACACACUAUCUCGACAAUGAGGCGUCCGGUCUUACUUCAAAGAUAUACGGGAUGGUAUGAGUGUAUUAAAGACAAGAUUAACCCAAAGACGUGGUACCCACGUUGCCCUGUAGCCCAAGGAAAGAUAACAUUUAGAAGUGGUUCAACGGUAAACAAAAACACCUCUAUGUUUGGUCUACAUACUGGUACUCACUUCCUUACGAUAAGUUUCAAACCAUGAAGACAAAUUCAUAAUAAAUACUAAUUCAGACAUAAUCGAAUUGUCUGUUUUACAUACCCUAACUAAAACUGCUCCGUUCAACAAGGAAAGAACCGAAGAACCAGGACAAAUAAGUACAAAAGGAUGGUAUCGAAGGUAAAAAGACGGAGUUGAUAAUAAACUAACCAAGGUCCUGGGCUUUAGUUACCAAUAACUUGUUUAAUUAAUAGUGAGGCGACUCCAACUUCCACUAGUGUGGAACUAACGACCACUACUAUACUAAGUCAGUUCUACACUACUACCGUCGAAACACCCACUCUCGUACAUACUACUACCGUCGAACCAUGUUUCCUCGACAGCUCGGUUGAAAGGACAUAAAGCGUGUACUCGACUUUCUCCAGUUCACGAUUAGGGUAACAUACGUUUUUAUAUACGCUGACAGUUAUAAAAAGGAUACCAGAUACCAACAUUACAACCACAACAUUCUACAACUCGCAGAAACUUUGGAAGGCUUAAGACCCUAAAAGAAAGAUAACCAUUGCAACUUUAUUCACACCGAGUCACAGCGAUACACAACCAUUUGGGGAGUCGGAAAAUGAGUGUUAGUCUAUAAGACUUUCUUCUCUCGAGGAAUGGACAGUAG
rnacentral:rRNA from 1 species